UACGGAGGGUGCAAGCGUUGUCCGGAUUUAUUGGGUUUAAAGGGUGCGUAGGUGGGUGUUUAAGUCUGGUUUGAAAGCAGGUGGCUCAACCAUCUGAUGUGGCUGGAAACUGGGCAUCUUGAAUGGGUUGGCGGUAGCCGGAAUGGGUCAUGUAGCGGUGAAAUGCAUAGAUAUGACCCGGAACACCGAUUGCGAAGGCAGGCUACUACGACUUGAUUGACACUGAGGCACGAGAGCAUGGGUAGCGAACAGG
rnacentral:rRNA from 1 species